AUAGCAUUAACGUGCCAAUAGAUAACUGCUACACCACCCCAUAGAAAAUGAUCAAUACAUGUUAGCUAUAUACACUCAUAUUUCAUUGAAACUAAGAAGUUUUCACAAUGGCACUGUUUUGCUUUUUCCAGCAGCUUUCUAUAGAAGUUUUCAUACAAUAGCACUAUAACAUAUAGCUAAUAGUGACUGCUAUAUUCCAUAAAUUAUCAGAUGCAUCCUGAAUUAAUAAGCCUUUACAAUAUAAAAGUUCUGCUUAUUAUAGAAAAUUUCACCAGUACUCCGCGAAAUACUUGUGAUUGGUGAGUGUAGCUGAAACCUGGCUCCUUGGAACCAUUGUGCUACAGAAAUGUCAGGUUGACACGAUACAGAAUCAGAAUUUGGGGUUCGUGAAUAAAGGGUUUCUAAAUAGUGUGUGGUGAAUGGUCUCCUCUGUUAAAGCAGGUAAAUGCUGUCCUCUUUGAUCUCCUAGGUGACCAGAGAAGAAGUCUGAGACACCCACGAGGGCUUCCAAGUUGUCAAAACAUCACAAGGACAAAGGCUUGAGAAGCAAGGCUUCCUUUGACACUUGCAAUUUGAAGGGAUAAAAUAUGGUCCCUAGAGUCUCUUUAUGCUGAAUUAGGAUAUUGUUUAAUUACACUGGCCAUAAAUGAUGUGGGGACAGCCAGUGAGAUUUUAAAUACUACAACUAAAGAUGAUGAAGACCACUGCAAAGAUGUAUCCCCAAAGUGUUCGACAAAAUGAUGCCACCACAGGGAUCUGGAUUGUCCCUUACACGAUGAAAACCACGGGGCGGAAAGAGGCUGAAUAUGUAAUUGCACUCUUGUGGGGAAGCAAAUUCUGA
rnacentral:lncRNA from 1 species